AAUUUCAACAAGUCUUUCUCCAUACUUCCAACACUCUUCAUGCAUCUAUAGUUCUUGUAAUCAAUCAAAUUUAUUGUAUUCUAACAUAUUCUAAACCCAAACAAUACUAGAUAAGUCAUUUAGUGGUUCAACGCAAUGUUUCCGAGUUCUUAGCCUAUUUGGGACCCAAUUUCAACAAGUUUUUCUACACAUUUCUAAACACUUUUCAUGCAUCUCUAGGACUUGUAAUCAAUCAAAGUUAUUGUAUUCUAACAUAUUCUAACCCAAACAACACUAGAUAAAUCAUUUAUUGGUUCAACGCAAUGUUUCCG
rnacentral:lncRNA from 1 species